AUACUUUCCUGGACGGGGUCAAUGGGUGAUUCAAAUGGCGCAUGGCCUUGGUAGGUGACCUCUAUUUGCACAUAAAGGAGGGAAAUACCAGCCUAAGGUCUUCCCAAGUGGAAGAUCCUACAUUAUUAUUUGUUGCACCGAGGGUCUGCGUGCAGCCUCAUU